GAUGAACGCUGGCGGCGUGCCUAAUACAUGCAAGUCGAGCGAACAGACGAGGGGCUUGCUCCUCUGACGUUAGCGGCGGACGGGUGAGUAACACGUGGAUAACCUACCUAUAAGACUGGGAUAACUUCGGGAAACCGGAGCUAAUACCGGAUAAUAUAUUGAACCGCAUGGUUCAAUAGUGAAAGACGGUUUUGCUGUCACUUAUAGAUGGAUCCGCGCCGCAUUAGCUAGUUGGUAAGGUAACGGCUUACCAAGGCAACGAUGCGUAGCCGACCUGAGAGGGUGAUCGGCCACACUGGAACUGAGACACGGUCCAGACUCCUACGGGAGGCAGCAGUAGGGAAUCUUCCGCAAUGGGCGAAAGCCUGACGGAGCAACGCCGCGUGAGUGAUGAAGGUCUUCGGAUCGUAAAACUCUGUUAGUAGGGAAGAACAAAUGUGUAAGUAACUAUGCACGUCUUGACGGUACCUAAUCAGAAAGCCACGGCUAACUACGUG
rnacentral:rRNA from 1 species